rnacentral:rRNA from 1 species
UACAGAGGUCUCGAGCGUUGUUCGGAUUCAUUGGGCGUAAAGGGUGCGUAGGCGGCGCUGUAAGUCGGGUGUGAAAUCCUGAGGCUUAACCUCGGAACUGCAUUUGAUACUGCGGUGCUUGAGGACUGGAGAGGAGACUGGAAUUCAUGGUGUAGCAGUGAAAUGCGUAGAGAUCAUGAGGAAGACCAGUGGCGAAGGCGGGUCUCUGGACAGUUCCUGACACUGAGGCACGAAGGCCAGGGGAGCAAACGGG